ACCCGAAACCCGGUGAUCUAGCCAUGGGCAGGUUGAAGGUUGGGUAACACUAACUGGAGGACCGAACCGACUAAUGUUGAAAAAUUAGCGGAUGACCUGUGGCUGGGGGUGAAAGGCCAAUCAAACCGGGAGAUAGCUGGUUCUCCCCGAAAGCUAUUUAGGUAGCGCCUCGUGAACUCAUCUCCGGGGGUAGAGCACUGUUUCGGCUAGGGGGCCAUCCCGGCUUACCAACCCGAUGCAAACUGCGAAUACCGGAGAAUGUUAUCACGGGAGACACACGGCGGGUGCUAACGUCCGUCGUGAAGAGGGAAACAACCCAGACCGCCAGCUAAGGUCCCAAAGUCAUGGUUAAG
rnacentral:rRNA from 2 species